rnacentral:rRNA from 1 species
UACAGAGGUCUCGAGCGUUAGGCGGAAUCACUGGGCUUAAAGCGUGUGUAGGCGGAUCGUUAAGUGCCUUGUGAAAUCCCACGGCUCAACCGUGGAACUGUCGUGCAUACUGGCGGUCUUGAGCAACCUAGGGGCGAGCGGAACAAAUGGUGGAGCGGUGAAAUGCGUAGAUAUCAUUUGGAACGCCAAUGGUGAAAACAGCUCGCUGGGGGUUUGCUGACGCUGAGACACGAAAGCCAGGGGAGCAAACGGG